AGUGAACGCUGGCGGUAGGCCUAACACAUGCAAGUCGAACGGCAGCACAGUAAGAGCUUGCUCUUACGGGUGGCGAGUGGCGGACGGGUGAGGAAUACAUCGGAAUCUACUUUUUCGUGGGGGAUAACGUAGGGAAACUUACGCUAAUACCGCAUACGACCUACGGGUGAAAGCAGGGGAUCUUCGGACCUUGCGCGAUUGAAUGAGCCGAUGUCGGAUUAGCUAGUUGGCGGGGUAAAGGCCCACCAAGGCGACGAUCCGUAGCUGGUCUGAGAGGAUGAUCAGCCACACUGGAACUGAGACACGGUCCAGACUCCGACGGGAGGCAGCGGUGGGGAAUAUUGGACAAUGGGCGAGAGCCUGAUCCAGCAAUACCGCGUGGGUGAAGAAGGCCUUCGGGUUGUAAAGCCCUUUUGUUGGGAAAGAAAAGCAGCAGGUUAAUACCCCGCUGUUCUGACGGUACCCAAAGAAUAAGCACCGGCUAACUUCGUG
rnacentral:rRNA from 1 species